rnacentral:rRNA from 1 species
GACGUAGGGCGCGAGCGUUGUCCGGAUUUAUUGGGCGUAAAGAGCUCGUAGGCGGCUUGUCGCGUCGAAUGUGAAAACUCGGGGCUCAACUCCGAGCUUGCAUUCGAUACGGGCAGGCUAGAGUUCGGUAGGGGAGACUGGAAUUCCUGGUGUAGCGGUGAAAUGCGCAGAUAUCAGGAGGAACACCGGUGGCGAAGGCGGGUCUCUGGACAGGUACUGACGCUGAGACGCGAAAGCGUGGGUAGCAAACAGG